rfam:Gorilla gorilla gorilla genomic chromosome, chr7, whole genome shotgun sequence
GCUGGGCAUGGUGGCGCAUGCCUGUAAUCCCAGCUACUCAGGAGGCUGAGGCAGGAGAAUUGCUUGAACCCAGGAGGUAGAGGUUGCAGUGAGCCGAGAUCUUGCCAUUGUACUCCAGCCUGGGUGACAGAGCAAGACUCUGUCUCAA